CGGGGGGAGCAAGCGUUGUUCGGAUUUAUUGGGCGUAAAGGGCGCGUAGGCGGCCACCGCAAGUCGACUGUGAAAUCUCCGGGCUUAACCCGGAACGGUCAGCCGAUACUGCGGGGCUAGAGUGCAGAAGGGGCAACUGGAAUUCUCGGUGUAGCGGCGAAAUGCGUAGAUAUCGAGAGGAACACCUGCGGCGAAGGCGGGUUGCUGGGCUGACACUGACGCUGAUGCGCGAAAGCUAGGGGAGCGAACGGGAUUAGAUACCCCGGUAGUCCUAGCCUUAAACGAUGAAUGCUUGGUGUCUGGGGUUUUAUAGUCCCCGGGUGCCGUCGCUAACGCUUUAAGCAUUCCGCCUGGGGAGUACGGUCGCAAGACUG
rnacentral:rRNA from 1 species